AAGUCGUAACAAGGUUUCCGUAGGUGAACCUGCGGAAGGAUCAUUAAUGAAAUUUUGCCAGUUGGUUGAUGCUGGUGGUGUCAAAACCGCAUGUGCUCGCCUCUGCAUUUUCUUGUCCAUACACCUGUGCACCUCUGAGGGAUUGGUACAGCACUUGUGGCUCGUAUCAACCUUCAUUUUACUACAAACACUAUUUUGAUAUAUGAACGUGAUUGUGCCGCAAGGCCAUAAACUUAUACAACUUUUAACAACGGAUCUCUUGGCUCUC
rnacentral:misc_RNA from 1 species